AUUUAGAGUUUUAGCGAAGGAAAACGAUCUUCAGACUACACACCGACAUGGAUUCCGCCUGUAAAAGACUAAGGUCAAGUACAAUCAAGAACUGUCCCACUCCAAUAUGGCGCCAGACGAAAUCGAGGCACCGCGGGUGCGCUGCUUCAGAUUGACAAUUUACGCAAGGAAAUGGUGUCAAAGUACUCCUAUUUACUGAUAUCAAUUGCAUUGUUGUCUUGGUUUUCUGUUUAUCACAACACAAUUGUUACUGCGAUACACUCAAAUUCAAGUGUACAGAGCGUUACCGAGCGCUCAUUCCAGCCUCGUUUUGAUUUUUGUCAUUGAUGUUUCUAAAACGGAAAUGGUAACAUUAGUACUCCAUUGAGAUAAGAAGAAAUAUAUUUCAUUGAAUCGGUUGUUUGUUUUUCAAUUAUCAUGAUAUC
rnacentral:sRNA from 1 species